ACCUCGGUGGUGUAGUGGUAGCACGAGUCCCCUGUUAGAAUGGAAUGCGGGUUCGAUUCCUGCCUAAGGCC